rnacentral:lncRNA from 1 species
CACAUGUUAAACUAAUCUAGUUUAAUAUCAAGGGCAAAGAUUAUUGUUUUAAGCCGUCUCAUAUAAAUGUUAUGUGCUUAAACGAUAAGUCCAAGGAAUAUGUAAUUAGGAGAAUGUAAUUUAAACAAGUUAGAUUUAUGAGACUAUUCUCUUUCGUAUACAUAUCCUAAACGUUCCUGAUCAUAGGAUUGCCAAUUAGGCAUUGACAGUCCGUUAAGAUCAGUACGUGCUGUGUCUUCUCUCAUGGAGAGUGACUGGCCUCGAGUCAUUGGUGUGAUUGACACCAAGACAAGCAUGUAGGUGCUCAAUAGCGAAUGAGUCCACUGAACACGAUCAACGAGGAGUUCUCAUACUCAUGUCACAUGAGAACUCAUGGUUGGGAUAAUGCAAAGUAGUCCUUUGACCUGAGGCAUCAUAGUUGUCUUGUGGUUAAGUCCUUGAUCUUUGACUAUGUCAAAGUCACUCCAUCAGAGGGUGUCCACGGCAUAGUUGGGGUUAAGCCACUUAGCCAUGGAGGCAAGUGAAUGCGCAACAAGGGAUCUCUAACCUUCAAACCAUUUGAAGGAGAAUACUCUAUGAUAUGAUUAAGAAUCUCUGGCCAGAGUAUGAAUGAGAUUUAGGAAGUCAUUCCAAAUCACAUUCAAGGUAAUCAUAUAAGUAAAUGAAUCACAUUAGAUAGUAGACAUGAAUAAACUAUCAAUCCAAAUAAUGUGGUCAAGAGUAUUGUAUUAGAGAAAGACAGUAUUGCAUUGUAAUCCUAAACUGAAUAGGUUCUCUGAAGGGAAAUUAUGAGAUUUCAUGUGGGAUUUCUAGUGACUAGCAUGCAUAUACAAUUCAAAAUUUAUAUACUAAAGCAAUGGAAGCACUUCAACAUAUAUUAUCAAAGCUUUAGUUAUGUAAAUCCCCUUCAAGAUGCAUAGGUUUAUGUAAGAUGCAUCAAAAACAAAUUUAUAUAAGAACAAAGUUUAGGAGUAGUUUUAUACCUCUUGAUCUAGAUCUUAGACCAAGGAUGGACAACCUCCAAGCCCUUUGCUCCUUGAACUCCUUGAGCCUAGCCUCCUUCCUUGCCUCCUCCACUUUGUUUAGUAUGAGUGCUCCUAGGUUCUCUUCAAGUUUCCAAAAUUGAAAACCUCUAAAGAUCCUCACCCACUAGUGUAGUGAGAAGGAUGAAGGAAUAACCAAAGGGGUGAAAAGAUGAUUACCUAAAAUCCCCCUAUGGUGGCCGGCCCUUUGAGUGUUAGAGAGAUAUUUUUCUUUUUCUCUUUUGUACUUUUAACACUUCAAAAAACCCUAAUGAAACAUUUGCUAUAAAGCUCCUUUUAUAGCCAAAAAAAAAGAAGUCAACAUUUGACCUUUCUCUCCCUCCUUUGGCCGGCCCCCUUUGUGU